CAGGCAGUCCCUGGGUUACAAAUGAGUUCCAUUCCUGAGAAAAUGCAAAUUCCUCUUUAAGUUGAAUUUCUAUGCAUCAAUUCUAUU